AAGUGGAAACGAAUGGGAGGGAGACAUAUAGAGACGGGUUGUCGAAGGUGGCUUGUCUUAGCUUUUCCGGUGAUGGAUGCCAUUCAACCUCAGUUGUGCACCAGAAAAUCCGUUGAAAUGUGGCUGCAGUUCUAGCAAGGGGAUUAAAAAACGCUUACCUGAAUGGAGUCUUUAAAAGCAGACUUUCCGGCAAUCGAUGGACUGUAAAAGGACUAAUAAAAUGUUCCAAUUAAGCCGAAUGCGAUCAAUAAAGGACACAGGCGCUGGCAACUUAAAGCUUUACGCUUAUUGAAAGCCCAUCUAUCUGGCUCUUACUGCCAGUCGUGCCCCCGGCAACACCCGCCCUUCAUUCUCCUAUUACUCCAGGCAGCUGCGUUGAUUGCCGUAACAGCUUUUGAAAUUAAGUCGCUGCAAGUCGGCUAUAGUUGGUGGCACUGGAUUGGGGCGAAAAGGGUAAGGAUUGCAGUACCGGGGGACAGGACAUUCCCAGCAAGACGAAAUGAGGCUGACAGCCAGCUCAGGCCACACAGAGAAAAUGUGUGAUCCAAAGUGCUCCAUUACUACGUGUAACUCACUAUUUGGAAAUCCUAAUUAGCUCUAAAAUUGUGGUCACCUUUUAUGGAUUUUAUUGUAAUUGUGCAAAAAUAAUAAGAGUAUUCCAAUUA